UACGUAGGUGGCAAGCGUUGUCCGGAUUUAUUGGGUUUAAAGGGUGCGUAGGCGGCCUUAUAAGUCAGUGGUGAAAUACUCCAGCUUAACUGGAGGGGUGCCAUUGAUACUGCAAGGCUUGAGUGGAGUCGAGGUAGGCGGAAUUGACGGUGUAGCGGUGAAAUGCUUAGAUAUCGUCAAGAACACCUAUAGCGAAGGCAGCUUACUAGGCUGUAACUGACGCUGAGGCACGAAAGUGUGGGGAUCAAACAGG
rnacentral:rRNA from 1 species